rnacentral:lncRNA from 1 species
UUUUUCUCUUUUUAGUGCCACACCUGUGGCAUAUAGAAGUUCCCAAGCUAGGUGUUGCAGAGGUCGAAUUGGAGCUACCGCUGCCUGCCUAUGCCAUAUCUACAGCAACAACCUAUGCCAGAGCUCAUGGCAACUCCAGAUCAUUGACCCAGUGGGCGAGGCCAGGGAUUGAACCUGCAUUCUCAUGGAUCCUAGCUGGGUUCAUUUCUCCUGAGCCACAGCAAGAACUCCCUACAAUAGAUUUCUUAGUGGAAACAAUAGGAGCCAGAAGACAAUGAGAUUUUUCAGCAGGCUGAAAGAAAAUAGCCACCAACUUAUUUUUCAAUACCCAUAAGAAAAUAUUCAAGUGAAAAUGAAAUAAAUAUAUACUGAGACUAAUAAAAAUUGCAAGAAUUAAUCACCAGUAAGCUCAUAUUAAUAGGAUAUUUUUAGGCAGAAGGAAAUAAUCCCAAAUGGAAGAUCAAAGAUACAGGCAGGAAUGAAGACCAAUGAAAAUGGUAACUAUAUGGAUAACUAUCAAAUAACAUUGGCUGUGUAGGAAACCAACAAUAUAAUUGUGUUUGAGGGGAGUUAAGGCCCUAAAGUCCUUGCCUACAUUUCGGGAAGGGAAGAUGGUAAAAGAAUCAAAUGUGAGGAUUUGUUAAGAAUGCAUUCUGUAGGAGUUCCUGUCAAACAGCUCUCAUGUCCCUGCUCUUUAAUGUUUAUGGACCCACAUUUUUUCCUGCUGAAAUCCUUUCCAUUUAAAAAUAUUGUACAUAUUGGAGUCCUUCUGGCCCCAAAGCACAACUCUCUUCUCGUAGCUCAGGUCUCCACUGAAAUGUCACCUCAUCACAGAGACAUUCUUGGGUGAUCCCAUCUAAGCAGCCCCACCCACCCAGUACUCUCCACUCCAAUGGUUGUCUCAUCAUGACCUGAACUUUAUUCGUUUGUGACUUGUCCCCCUGUCCCUCCCUCUCUAGAAUGUGAGCACCACGAGGGCAGAGACCUAGGUUGACUCUUCUAUUCCUGGAGCCCCCAGUAGCCAGAGCUGCGCCUGGCACAUAGCAGCGAUCCAGGACUUUCCAAGGCUAAGGCUGUGAAGUCUCUAGGGGACAAAUGCCAGUCUGUGUGUGUGUGCAUGUGACAGAGGAUGGGGAGGUAGGCUGCGGGAGACUUCAACAUCUCCCUGAGGGAAAUUGGGAACAAUGGCCUCUCCAGGGCCAUCUAGAUGUGUAAACAAGGGCGUGACACCUUCUUUGCCAGGUGUCCCCUGAGCACAGUCCCUCCUUCCGCCUGGAGGGACUGGGCUGCUUUUGCUGCUCCCUGACCUUAGAGGGACCCUCCCCGCUGCACUAGGCUGGGACCCCACACCCAGGCCUGCCUCUUAACGGUGCCAUUUUUUUCCUUGUGUGGCACCAGGUUCUCACUCUUGCCUUCCUGUCACCAGAGCCUGAUGGGCCCCCUCCCACUUGUAUUCUCCACCACAUCCUCAAGCUUCCAGUUUUAGGGGUGCCGUGAGGUUCCCCGUGUCUCCUGUAGCAGGGUAUGCUACCUCACUGGGGCUCCCUGGUGCUCAGCCCCCAUCCCGGCCACUCCAGCCCUUGUCCUGGGCACGGCGAGAGGGAUUCCAAAGAAAGGCUGCCAGAGGCUCCCACAGGUACCCGCUGCCCGUCCCGCCAGGCAAGGGCACUCAGCCCCCACUUGUCCCCCCUCCCUUCAGCUGAGGGGGCCCAGCGCCCAACAAGCCUGCUUGACUUCUGGCUCAGGUGAGCAGAGAGGCACGGAGGCUUCACACGGAUCCAGGCCUCUGCCCAGCCUCAGUGGAACAACCCUGUGUUGAAAGGACUUCCUCUACCACCAGCUCCUGCCACCCCGACUCCGUGACCCCUUGGCUGUGCUCCCUGUACACCCAAGUGGCCCACAGUCACUGUCACAUCCUCAGAGGGGUCAGCAGCCCGCGGUUCCAGAGUUCCCGGCUCUGGCAGGGCCCCUGAGUGUUUGCACAGGGGAUUUCAGGGUUCAGAGGCUGGUUAAGUACGUGCUCUCCAGAGGGCCCUGGAGCGAUCUCUAUGCACACGUGUGUCUGCGCACGCACGCGUGUGUGACGGAUUCAACACGGGGCCUCUGGGCCCCACUUCUAAUUUCACCAUAGAAGCCCCAGGUUUUCCUGUGUUACCAGUGGAGACGCCACCUAAGUUACUUUUUAAAUAAAAGGAUCGAUUAUUUUUUUAAAAAGAAAGAUUUGCAAACCACGGAGACAGAACUCAUUUUACACGUGGGGAAACCGAGGCCCAGAGAGCAAAUGGCUUCUCAAGGUCACUGUGGGAUCGGUGGCUGAGCUGCACCAUACCAGGCUGCCUGGCUCAUAGGCUGAUGUUUUUGCCAAGACCAGGCCUAAAUGUCCCUCUCAGGAGGUGGCAGGUGGGGGCGGAGUGCCAGGAAGGCCUCGUCCAGAGAAGGUUAAGGUCAAAGCCUCCCCAUCCCAUGGGCCCCCAUGAAGUGCCCGGGAGAACAGUAGCAUCGGAAAGGUCAUUCAGUUCCUAACUGGAGGCUCAAAGACUGGGAGUGGAAAGGGGCGGGAUGAGGGAGGCGGAGGCGGGGGGGGGGGGGGUGGGGGUUCAUCCUUCGGGUCUCUCGCACCCCCUCCCCUGAUGAAAACCCCAAAUGCCCUCCUGUCAUUUCGAGACUGCCUCUCCCAUUACCUGGUGGUCACUCUGAGAGUUCACCGCAGGAGGAAAAGCCUGCUCCACAGGCAGCCCCCACCCCUGCCCCCCCAUCUGCUCAAGGCAGCCCCCCCACCCCCCCGCCCCCCAGCACCUGACUUCCAAGCAAAAGGAGCCAGUGGUAGGCUUCCAGGGGGCCCGGGGGCCCUGAGGUGAUGACGUCUGCAUGGGAGGGCUGUGGAGGAGGAGGUGGGCUUUCCAUCUCAGGAGUCUUGUGGACACCCCCCUCCUCGCAACAGCAGAAACGGCACAGCAGAGGGCUCUGUGGCACCCGCUGGGUCUCCUCCCAGUGUCCC